rnacentral:rRNA from 1 species
AGAGUUUGAUCCUGGCUCAGAUUGAACGCUGGCGGCAGGCCUAACACAUGCAAGUCGAGCGGAUGAGUGGAGCUUGCUCCAUGAUUCAGCGGCGGACGGGUGAGUAAUGCCUAGGAAUCUGCCUGGUAGUGGGGGACAACGUCUCGAAAGGAACGCUAAUACCGCAUACGUCCUACGGGAGAAAGCAGGGGACUUUCGGGCCUUGCGCUAUCAGAUGAGCCUAGGUCGGAUUAGCUAGUUGGUGAGGUAACGGCUCACCAAGGCGACGAUCCGUAACUGGUCUGAGAGGAUGAUCAGUCACACUGGAACUGAGACACGGUCCAGACUCCUACGGGAGGCAGCAGUGGGGAAUAUUGGACAAUGGGCGAAAGCCUGAUCCAGCCAUGCCGCGUGUGUGAAGAAGGUCUUCGGAUUGUAAAGCACUUUAAGUUGGGAGGAAGGGCAGUAAGUUAAUACCUUGCUGUUUUGACGUUACCGACAGAAUAAGCACCGGCUAACUUCGUGCCAGCAGCCGCGGUAAUACGAAGGGUGCAAGCGUUAAUCGGAAUUACUGGGCGUAAAGCGCGCGUAGGUGGUUCAGCAAGUUGGAUGUGAAAGCCCCGGGCUCAACCUGGGAACUGCAUUCGAUACUGCAUGGCUAGAGUCUGAUAGAGGGAAGUGGAAUUCCAGGUGUAGCGGUGAAAUGCGUAGAUAUCUGGAA